AAAAUGACUCUCGGCAACGGAUAUCUCGGCUCUCGCAUCGAUGAAGAACGUAGCGAAAUGCGAUACUUGGUGUGAAUUGCAGAAUCCCGUGAACCAUCGAGUCUUUGAACGCAAGUUGCGCCCGAAACCAUUAGGUUGAGGGCACGUCUGCCUGGGUGUCACAC
rnacentral:rRNA from 28 species